rnacentral:rRNA from 1 species
CCUACGGGAGGCUGCAGUGGGGAAUAUUGCGCAAUGGGCGAAAGACUGAAGCAGCGACGCCGCGUGAGGGAUGACGGCCUUAGGAUUGUAAACCACCGUCUGCAGGGAAGUAAGGUCACUGUGGUAAUCAGCUGUGUAUUUACGGUACCUGCAAAGGACGCACAGGCUAACUCCGUGUCAGCAGCCGCGGGAAUACGGAGGGUGCGAGUGUUAAUCGGAUUUACUGGGCGUAAAGCGCUCGUAGGCGGUAUGUUAAGUCAAGGGUGAAAUGCCCGCGCUCAACGUGGGAACUGCCUUGGAAACUGGCAAGCUGGAGUGUGUGAGAGGAUAGCGGAAUUCGAGGUGUAGGGGUGAAAUGCUUAGAUA